ensembl:lncRNA LINC01499 long intergenic non-protein coding RNA 1499
GGACUAUCUCGUAACCCAUCUGUGAAGCAGGGAGAAGUCCAAGCUUCCUCAUGAAGAGGAUCACAUCAAGAGUGAAGCCAAAGGCACAGGAAGCACAGCUGGAAUGGGGACAUAGGAACGCGGGGGCUCCCAUGAGUUGACCGGACAACUGAGAGAUGGCAACCUAGACCUGGGGUUCUGCAGUCUAUACAAGAAGCAUGAUGCUGGCAUCCACUUGGCUUCUGGGGAGGCCUCAGGAAACUUACAGUCAUGAUGGAGGAUGAAAGGGCAGCAGGCACAUCACACGGCCAGAGCAGGAGCAAGAGAGAGAAAGUGCAGCUGCAAAUUUGAGCACAGAACCUGCAAGAACCUCUUGUGUUCCAUUGCCUCCCAGAUGCCCUAGACUUGUUGAAUGAAGCCACGGACCCUUGCCGUGAGUGUUACAGCUCUUAAGGUGGCGCAUCUGGAGUUUGUUCCUUCUGAUGUUCAGAUGUGUUUGGAGUUUCUUCCUUCUGGCGGGUUCGUGGUUUCGCUGGCUCAGGAGUGAAGCAGCAGACCUUCGAGCUCAUAUAUUAAAAUCCUGACCCCGAGUACUUCAGAAUGUGACUGAAUAUGGAGACAGGGCUUUUAAAGAGGCAAUUAAGAGCUGACAUAAAAAACACUCAAGAGAACUGAGUCUGGAAAAUGUGAGAAGAAAGUUAAUUUUGGCAAAUUUCUGAGAAAUGAAAAGACGUAUCAACAAGAAAUUUCAUUUCUAAGAGGACAAAAUAUGCUAUGUUUUCGUGAAUCCAUGAUUCGACCUGAAGAAGAAGGAAAGAACUGGACAUCCAGAUGAGGAGCACACAGGUGAGCAGGUGCAGGAACCAGCCGGACAAUUUGCCGCCAGCAGGAAUGAACUCCAAGCAGGCCCCACUGCAGUAUCCAGAGCUAGUCCAUCAGGCUCUAAAUUUUUAAACGUGUAAGUUUCAGAAUCACAGAAAUCUUAGAAGAUAUUGAACAGCUAAAGCUUUGAAGCAACGAGACUUUAGAUCCUCUCUCCUCAUUCCUAUUUUCCUCAUCAUAUCAACCUUUUUAAGAAGCAGAAGAAUGAUGAAAGAGAUGGGGCCAACACUCUCAGAGGUGAGAAAAACAGCUGAGCACUGUGGAGGCGGAAGAUACAGAGAGCUCCAUUGCAGCCACAGUGAUGGAUGGCAUCGAUAGAGAAAAUCCCACAAAAGAGCUUGACUUUUCUCAUGAAUCUGCAGUUUCUUCCGAAAAAGUGAAAUUUUAUCAAAUGUUGAGACCCAGAAAAGUUAUCUGUAGACUUCAGCCUUUGCAAAAAAAUGGAAGAAACAAUUGAGAAGCAGACACAGAAGUCAAACUUUUUCAAUAAGCUAAAUUGGAAGAAAGGGCUUAGCACACGGUGUUUCCUAAUCUUUCCUGCCAACCAUUUAUUUAAGCUCAGAUCUUGGGAAGCCCAUCUAAGGGCUUCCAAAGAGAAAAUGCUACUUAUCAAGAAUCAUGCCUUUCCUGUUGCAGAGUAGAAGUAAACAAAAUCAAGAAAUCUCCAAUGCUCACACAAUUUUAACAGGUUUGGCCAAUACAACAGAGACGUGAAAACCAACAGAUGUCCCCCACCAAUCCAGGAAUGAGUGAAUUCUUGCUCUAUCAGGACCUGUGAGACUUCCCUCAAGAGCUGGUUGUUAAAAAGAGCCUAGGACCUCUUCCCUCUCUUGCUUCCUCUCUUGCCUUGUGAUCUUCACAUCCUGACUCUCCUUCACCUUCCACUCUGAGUGGAAGUUUCCUGAGGCUCUCGCAAGAAGCAGAUAUCGGCACCAUGCUUCUUUUACAGUCUUCAUAGUCCUGAGAACAAGAGUGUCAUCUGUCAAGAUUCUGGAAAUUUAAAUAAUUCUAUGCCAACUCUGAUGGAUUCAAAGUGAUCUGAAGACAGACAAAAUGGAUGCCCCAACUCCCA